rnacentral:misc_RNA from 1 species
GAUGAAGAACGCAGCGAAAUGCGAUAAGUAGUGUGAAUUGCAGAAUUCAGUGAAUCAUCGAAUCUUUGAACGCACAUUGCGCCCUUUGGUAUUCCUUAGGGCAUGCCUGUUCGAGCGUCAUUUAAACCUUCAAGCUAAGCUUGGUGUUGGGUGACUGUCCACUUCACGGCGGACUCGCCUCAAAAUUAUUGGCGGCCGGUACAUUGGCUUCGAGCGCAGCAGAAACGCGAACUCGGGCCCGUCGUAUUGGCUCCCAGAAGCUAUCUUCACAAUUUUGACCUCGGAUCAGGUAGGGAUACCCGCUGAACUUAAGCAUAUCAAUAAGCGGAGGA